UACGAAGGGGGCUAGCGUUGCUCGGAAUCACUGGGCGUAAAGGGCGCGUAGGCGGUCCGACAAGUCGGGGGUGAAAUCCUGCAGCUUAACUGCAGAAGUGCCUUCGAUACUGUCGGUCUUGAGGGAGAUAGGGGUGUGCGGAACUUCCAGUGGAGCGGUGAAAUGCGUUGAUAUUGGAAGGAACGCCGGAGGCGAAAGCGGCGCACUGGAUCUCUUCUGACGCUGAGGCGCGAAAGCUAGGGGAGCAAACGGG
rnacentral:rRNA from 1 species